UACGAAGGGUGCAAGCGUUACUCGGAAUCACUGGGCGUAAAGCGUGCGUAGGCGGUUCGUUAAGUCUGCUGUGAAAGCCCUGGGCUCAACCUGGGAACUGCAGUGGAUACUGGCGGACUAGAGUGUGAUAGAGGAUGGUGGAAUUCCCGGUGUAGCGGUGAAAUGCGUAGAGAUCGGGAGGAACACCAGUGGCGAAGGCGGCCAUCUGGAUCAACACUGACGCUGAGGCACGAAAAGCGUGGGG
rnacentral:rRNA from 1 species